rnacentral:sRNA from 1 species
UCUGUCGCCAAAUGAGCAUCUCGGCUCGUC